rnacentral:rRNA from 1 species
CCGGACGUUUGAUCCUGGCUCAGGAUGAACGCUGGCGGCGUGCCUAAUACAUGCAAGUCGAGCGCAAAGAUCAGGAGCUUGCUCCUGUGAUUUGAGCGGCGAACGGGUGAGUAACGCGUAGGUAACCUGCCUGGUAGCGGGGGAGUAACUAUUGGAAACGAUAGCUAAUACCGCAUAAGAGUAGAUGUUGCAUGACAUUUGCUUAAAAGGUGCAAUUGCAUCACUACCAGAUGGACCUGCGUUGUAUUAGCUAGUUGGUGGGGUAACGGCUCACCAAGGCGACGAUACAUAGCCGACCUGAGAGGGUGAUCGGCCACACUGGGACUGAGACACGGCCCAGACUCCUACGGGAGGCAGCAGUAGGGAAUCUUCGGCAAUGGACGGAAGUCUGACCGAGCAACGCCGCGUGAGUGAAGAAGGUUUUCGGAUCGUAAAGCUCUGUUGUAAGAGAAGAACGAGUGUGAGAGUGGAAAGUUCACACUGUGACGGUAUCUUACCAGAAAGGGACGGCUAACUAC